rnacentral:misc_RNA from 1 species
UAACUCACAUCAACAAGCGCCAGGGAAUUACGAGCACAAGCUUAAAACCCAAAGGAUUUGACGGUGUCCCAUCCCCCUAGAGGAGCCUGUUCUAUAAUCGAUGAUCCUCGAUAUACCUCACCAUUUUUUGCUUUUUCAGCCUGUAUACCUCCGUCGCAAGCUUACCAUUUGAAUGCCCCAAAGUAAGUUCAACGGGCCCCCCCGCCAAUACGUCAGGUCAAGGUGCAGCCAAUAAAAUGGAAAGCAAUGGGCUACAAUUUCUAACAUAGAACAAACGAAAAACUACAUGAAACAUAGUCAUGAAGGCGGAUUUAGUAGUAAAAAAAGACUAGCGAGCUUCUUUUAACAAAAGGCCCCGGGACGUGUACAAACCGCCCGUCACCCUCUUCGAUAGCACCCAACUUAGCUACAUAACACCUGCUCAGCACCUUAGAAGAGGCAAGUCGUAACAUGGUAAGUGUACCGGAAGGUGCACUUGGUUAAACAAAGUGUAGCUUAACUAAAGCCUUUCGCUUACACCGAAAAAACACCUGUUAAACCCAGGUCACUUUGAGCCCUAAAUCUAGCCUAUAAAUUUUCUAUACACACCACCAAUAGCCAAAACAUAAUAAAACAUUUUAACUGUUUAGUAAAGGCGAUCAAAAAAUAUAUUAGCGCCACAGAUCACGUACCGCAAGGGAAAAAUGAAAUAGAAUUGAAACAACACUAAAGCACCAAACAGUAGAGCUUACCCCUCGUACCUUUUGCAUCAUGGUCUAGCUAGUCUAUUCAAGCAAAACGAUUUUUAGUNUGAACCCCCGAAACUAGGUGAGNUACUUCGAAACAGUCUCAAGGACUAACCCGUCUNUGUCGCAAAAGAGUGGGAUGAUUUCCAAGUAGGGGCAACAAACCAACCGCACCUAGAGAUAGCUGGUUACUCAAGAAAAGAAUAUAAGUUCAACCUUAAGCUUUUUAAUUACACAAAAACCCCAUUAAACUUAAGAGUUACUCAAAUAAGGCACAGCUUAUUUGAAACAGGAUACAACCUACAACACAGGGUAAAACUCAUGAACAAGUAACAAGUGGGCCUAAGAGCAGCCACCUCCAAAAAGCGUUAAAGCUUAACACUUAUUCUAAAUUAAUAUCCCCACCUUCCCCAAACCCUUCACCAAUAUUGAGUAACUCCAUAAGAUUAUGGAAGUUAUAAUGCUAGAACUAGUAACAAGAAAUAGACUUUCUCCAAAAUGCAAGCCUAAGCCACAAUAGACAACCUAUUGGCAAUUAACGCAAAUGAAAAUAUUAUAGUAACUCUAACAAGAAAAACCUAUACCCAUAUACGUCUCCCUUACACCAGAGCAUUAAUGGAAAGAUUAAAAGAAAAAGAAGGAACUCGGCAAACCCACAGCCCCGCCUGUUUACCAAAAACAUCGCCUCUUGACACAAUAUAAGAGGUCCAGCCUGCCCAGUGACACAGUUUAACGGCCACGGUAUCUAACCGUGCGAAGGUAGCAUAAUCACUUGUUCUUUAAAUGAGGACUUGUAUCAACGGCAUCACGAGGGCUUACUGUCUCCUUUCUCUAAUCAGUGAAACUAAUCUCCCCGUGAAGAAGCGGGGAUACUACCAUAAGACGAGAAGACCCCAUGGAGCUUUAAACCCAAUUACACCCUUACUUUUCACACCCACUCAACCAACAGGGCCCUGUACGCUUGGUUUUAGGUUGGGGUGACCGCGGAGUAAAGUUAAACCUCCACGAUGAACGGGAAUACCCUCUUAUCCAAGAGCCACACCUCUAAGAAUUAGCACACUAACAUAAAAUGAUCCGAUACUCGAUCAACGAACCAAGUUACCCUGGGGAUAACAGCGCAAUCCAUUUCAAGAGCCCCUAUCGACAAAUGGGUUUACGACCUCGAUGUUGGAUCAGGAUAUCCCAGUGGUGCAGCAGCUACUAAAGGUUCGU